UUUUUUUAUUUUGAUACAGGGUCUAAGUUGCCCAGGCUGGCUUCAAACUUGUGAUCCUCCUCCUGCCUUAGCCUCCCAAGUACCUGGGAUUACAGGCAUGGUAGUUUUUAUAUAUCCUUAUUGGCAGGGCUGGUUUUGUGGCUCAGUGUUAGAGAACUUGCCUAGCCAUGUGUAAGCCACUGGGUUCAAUUCUCAGCACCAUAUAUAAAUAAGUAAGAGGUUUAAAAAACAAAGAGAAAGAAGAAAAGAAAAAGAAAAAAAAGCCCUUAUUGGCAAAGUAAAAAGCUGGCAAUCCAACAUCAGUCCUCAACUCCCUUCCAACCCCUGUAUCCUGGUGAAUGGUGAACGUUAAGAUCUCUGAAAUACAGAGUCCAGGUUUCACUGCUCCAAACUAAGCAACCCUACUUUUUCUCCCCCAAAACUAAAACUGGAACUUUUGAGUUGGAGGUCCUAUCUUCAUCUCAAUUCUUAAGAUAACCUGGAUAAACCACCCCCCAAAACUGAAAACCUGAAGGGAAGUCUUCUGAGUAGGAAAUUCUUCCAAAUAGAUCUCAAACUGGUUAUGUCUGAACUAAGCUAUGUGAGGAAAUCAGGUUUCAAAGAGUAAAGGCCAGGAGGGAGAAUGUGGAGUUGCUGUUAGGAAGCCUAAGAAAAUGGUUUAGUACUCAUAAAUCAAGUCCCUAAAUAGUCUUCUACUUUACCGGUAAUGACCACUCCUUUUGUCCUCUGGCCAAUGGUGUGGAGAGAGUUAAAGCAACUUUAACCACCCUUCCCAGGCUUAAGAAGAAUGACAGAAUUCCAUGAACUCCAUUCUUUGAAAGGAAUGGCUGUGGUGUGGUAAGAGCAUGUAGAGCCCUCUUACCUGCCUGAACUUGGUUUUCCCAGACUCAAAAGAAAAUUUAAAUAGAUCAUCUUUAAAGUCUCUUCCAGCUUUAUGACUAUAAAGCUGCAUUUUCCUGCUAACAGGGCAGAACUAGGUCUUAAAAAGCAGAGACUUGUUUUGGCUCCAUCCCAGGGAGAGAGAAUUCAUCUGGGCGGCUUCCUGAGGCUCUUGGAAAGGUAAAUAAAGACUGGAGUUGAGGGGCUGGGCUAAUGCCAGCCAGGAACGAAAGAGACCACAGCCUGAGAGGCCACCUUUCCCUUCUCUGGGAGGGUGGGGGAUGGAAAACCAGUAUGGAGCCAUACGGCUUCCGGCUCCAAAGCCUGGCCGGGCUCAGAGCUCUUUCUGGCAGAAACUUUGCCCUGCGUUCCAGCAGGCCUCCGCGAUCAGGAUGCUCAUGUGUUUCUCCCCUUAUCCCCUCUGUGAGGGCCUCUCCGAGGGGAAGGCACAACUCCCUGUUGCCCACCCCGCACCCUCCCCCCCUCUUUUUUUUUUUAAUAAAAUCACAACUCAAAUUUGGCUAUUUUUCUCCGUCCGGAGGCCCCGCCAAAACUUUCAGCGCGUUCCGCCCACUCCACGUGGACCUCCCUUCCUUGUCCCAGCAGCCCCUGCGAGAACCCCCACCCCCAACACGUGAUCAAUUGUUAUGUUUCCUGCCUGGGGCCUCCUUUUAGCUGGCACCACCUUAACAACCGAACAGAAGUGCCCCCUUCAGGAUGAUUGUGGGGCAGCAUCCUGUGGGGUUGUUGAGGGCUGGAGUAUAAUAGAGGAAUGCAACUGCCUGGGCGUAAAGAUUUCAUAUCCUCACAGUUUCCUGGCCAAUCAAAGAAUUACACAACUAAAAGAUGGGACAGACAAUGAGUGUCUCUCAGUGGUAGACAGCAUGCUGCUGAAGCACUGGGUUCAAUCCCCAGCAUUCCUCCUCUCGACCCCAACCUCCAGAAAAAGAGACAGGUUUGAGAGAAGGGAUAGCAAAGAAAACAAGACUGGAAUGGAGUUGGGUAAAGUUUUUAAUUCCCUAACUGUAAGUUGGUUACCGUUACUCUAACUCCAUUUCCCCUAGAGUUCUUCAUGUUGUUGGCAGAGAGCUCAGAUCCUCCCAUACCAGACAAGAGCCAAGAGUUCCCUAAUUAUGGGCUGAUACAGGGCCUUUCCUGGGGUGGGUGAGCUGGUCCUGGCCAACAUCACCACCCCCUUCCUUAAGAAGUUAUCUCCGUGUAGAUGACAGAUUACUUCUAAAACAGUGUCUCUCCCUCUUCCAGUAUUGGGGAACAUUUGCCCUGGAAGGAAAGAGCAGGCAGGAGAUAGUGUUAGAGGAAGGAGUGGACUAGGCAGCAAAAAUUAAUCCAGUGGGAGUGUAUAGAACAAGGGAGCUAACCAGGAAAAGCUGUAAAAUAGGUCAAAUGAAGCCAAAAAGAGGGAAUGAGUUUGCUUAGGAAAAAUUUUGACAUAGACUUUGUCCAUUUUCACCCUACAAGAGAUAUGGAGUUAAAGAGUUGUAUAAGGAGUUGGGGGUUAUGGAACAUGCUGAAAGGAAUUGUGAUGCUCUGGGAGGGGGAAAAGUAGGGUAUAAGUCGAGUGGGGAGGGAAGGAUAAAUUUAAACUCGGAAUUAUCAUGGGGCCAUUUGUCCUCCAACGUCACAGGGGUCAUGAAUAGCAGAUGGCCCAAGAGCUACAAGCCUUGGAGCCCACAGAGGGAGAACUCAUGGUAGACAAACAGCACAUUAACUAGGGGCAUGUUAAGGAGCAAUGCAUGGAAAGGAAUGGGAGGAUUCCCAAGGCACCGACUUUCUUUUUUUUUUUUUUUUUUUAAUAUUUAUUUUUUAGUUUUCAGCGGACACAACAUCUUUGUAUGUGGUGGUGAGGAUCAAACCGCACGCCAGGCGAGCGCGCUACUGCUUGAGCCAUAUCCCCAGCCCCAAGGCACCGACUUUCAAUGGAGACAGCCCCCAAAAGAUCAAGAUAGAAGACUGAGGACUCUGACCGGGACACUUGCUCUCCUAUAACUCAGCAUCUGUCAGCGCUCCCAUUACCAGGUUCCAAAGUGAUGCUGGCCCUGCUGCUGAUGCUGAGAAUAAUGGUCUUAGAGAAUUCCAGCCCCUUACUUCAAUGUUCACCCAAGAGAGUCCCAAUUUUAUAUAACUCAGGAGGACAGAAUUGCAGCAACGGAGCAUUAGGAAUUUCCUGUGGCGAGGCAGCGCCAGUACCGGGAGGGGUGGAGGCAAUGCUGAGCGAUCGACCGCCUUCCCUUGGCUCGGGCAGGGCCACGUGCCCCACCCCCUCGCUUGCACAUGUCUCCGCCGCCACCACCGCAGCAGCCGGGCUGUUUAUGAGCGAGUUGUUGUGGUAGAAAUGGAGCAGGCUGCACAUGCCCGGGCCAUGUGACCCCGGCAGCCCGCGUGAGCCUCCAGCCUGCACAAACACACUUGGUCCUGUCCUCCAGCGGCCGGAGGAACGGGAGGCAAGAGUGAAAGGGCACUGGGCUCCCUUGUCUCCUGGCCCUAUAUCCUGCUUCUGCCCUUUUGUCUCUCCUGAGCUACCAGGGAACAAACACCAGCAAGGAAACAUGGUUUCUCCAGGCAUAUUCUCCUCCAGGCUGUCCCUUGGCAUUUUAUACCACCCAAAGUCCUAACCCCCCAAAGAACAAAGGGCCUCCCCCAACUGAGAGCACAGAAUCUCCCUCCCCAGCCCCUCCUGUUGAUGUGCUGAUGGAAGCCCAGAGCCAAGACUUGCUUUGCUUGCAGCCUGGGCUCCUCAAAUCAGGCUAUUCUGUCCCUUCUUUCUAGGAAGAAGGAUGCCACUUGUGCAUGCAGCUAGUGCCUGCUCUCGGAUUAGAACAAGGAGAAUUUAGGGAUUUGUGGGAUAAGGGACUUGGUACAAAGUUCCUUUCUGUAGCAGUGGUCUGUCAGAGGACAGGAAGGGGGUGAGGAGGACCCAAAGGUGGGUUAUGGGUAAGUGGGGGAGAACUGGAAGGACUUUUGCACAGAUUCUUGUCCAGUUGGAGAACAAGUAAGUGUGCAAAAGAUCACUUCAACUUCCACCCAUCACUUAAGUGUCUCCUCCCCCACACUUUAAUCCCAGACCCCCACUUUAGUCCUCUGUUCCCACCGGUGGCCUGUGACCCUCAUUCUGAGCAGCAGUGCUCUUGCUGGGAUGGGAGACUGUGCUGGAGUCAGGCGGACAGUAGGUUAGCAGGAACAAGCAAAUGAAAUGAGCACGACCCACAUUUCCUCAUCGCACCAAAACUUCAGAGAUCCUGCAUUGCAGAGCUAGCGCUUUUUUUUUUUUUUUUAAAUCUCUGCUGGGCCCCUACACACGUCUGCAUUUUUGCAACCAGCACAGAUUUUUUUUUUCCAGGGUGCAAACUGUGCAUUCUAAUGAGCCAAAGCUCCUUCCUGCGGCAUUGAAAAUCUCUCUGGCAAAUUGCUUCUUCCUCCCUCCCCCCUAAUUUAGAAGAGCAAGAAAGAUCCCAAAUUUAUGAAGUUGCAUCCUCUCCCUCUCCUUCCCCUGCCUCCCUCCCCCAAGAUUCUGCAGUCCUUCCAGCCCAAGGAACAGCUGCAGAUCAGGGGAGAGGGGCAGGAGGAAGGAAAGUGAGCCUUGUUCCAUGUUUCCAAGCAGGCUGAGCUGGCUGGUGGGGCA